UACGAAGGGGGCGAGCGUUGUUCGGAUUUACUGGGCGUAAAGGGCGCGCAGGCGGUUCUGUUUGUCGAGUGUGAAAGCCCCGGGCUCAACCUGGGAACUGCGCUCGAAACGGCGGAACUAGAGUUCGGGAGAGGAGAGUGGAACUCCCAGUGUAGAGGUGAAAUUCGUAGAUAUUCGCAAGAACACCAGUGGCGAAGGCGGCUCACUGGCCCGAUACUGACGCUGAGGUGCGAAAGCGUGGGGAGCAAACAGG
rnacentral:rRNA from 1 species